rnacentral:rRNA from 1 species
GUCCACGCCGUAAACGAUGAGUGCUAGGUGUCGGUGGGCUUGCCCAUCGGUGCCGCAGCUAACGCAUUAAGCACUCCGCCUGGGGAGUACGGCCGCAAGGUUAAAACUCAAAGGAAUUGACGGGGGCCCGCACAAGCGGUGGAGCAUGUGGUUUAAUUCGACGCAACGCGCAGAACCUUACCAGCCCCUUGACAUGCCCGUCGCGAGAUCCAGAGAUGGAUCUCUUCGGUUCGGCCGGACGGUGCACAGGUGCUGCAUGGCUGUCGU